UCUAUCUCUUCCAUCAGCUCAUCUAUGGCGGAUCUUCAGGUGAUUUAAGUUGGUAGCUCUACAGUUGUUGUUGUUGUUCUGCCUCAGCACGAUUAUCACAAAAUGUCUUUAGAUCAUAAGCUCAAGAAAAGGGUGAAGCUUUCAUCACUUAGCAGCUCCAAUUCUUCUUAUAAAGGAAGGAGUAGAUCCACUACUCAACGCAGUGAUGAUGAUGACACUAACUCUCGGAAGACUACGGUUUCGUAUUUGAAGAAGAAGAAGAAGAGGGUCUACCCCAAUAACCAUGUGAACGAAACCCCACGCACGAUGUGGGCGGCUGCACCAAAGAGAAACCAACGGUCUGCUUCGACCUCUAUUAACGACGAUGAUGCAACAAGUGUGUUUAAAACAAAGUUGCCGAGGGGAGAUGAUGCUACUCGAAAGAGCCACAAAAAGAGCGAUGAAUUGGAUGGUAGACGAAGGAGAAGCUCGGAUGUGCCGGCUGCCGCUUUUAAGGCUAGGAAACAAGCGCUUUCAGAUAAGAGAGUCGUCGUGGGAGAUGGUUCAGAUAGUCAAGAGGAUAAACCAAGGAAGAGAAAAAGGAUACGAUUAGACCGCUAUGAUACCUCAAAUAAAAGAAUAGAUGAUGAUGCCGUUCUUGAUGAUGUCCAUGGAGUAAAGAACAAGAAAGACGCAGUGAAAAGUGUAGAAAUGUCCAAAAAUGCUCAGUUUCGGGCAAUUCAGCCUAGUCAUUCCAUCCUUUCCUAUGUGGAAGAAAAUCUGCUGGGGCGUAGACGUUUAAUUGAGCUAAAUAGGGCCGGCUACAACACAGAGCUUCCUGCUCCCUUAGAUAAUAUUCCUCAGUCAACCAGCACUGAGAGAGAACGUAUAGAAGAAAGUGUAUUUAGGAAUAAGUUGGAAUUCUUUGCUGCUGCUAAUGUUUCUUCUUCAUUUCCACCGCCUGAUGUACCUGAGAUUGCAUUUGCAGGAAGGUCAAAUGUUGGCAAAUCGUCUCUGCUAAAUGCUCUUACCAGACAGUGGGGUGUUGUAAGAACAUCUGACAAACCAGGACUGACCCAGACCAUCAAUUUCUUCGAUCUUGGUUCCAAGGUUCGCCUUGUUGAUUUACCAGGCUACGGCUUUGCGUUUGCAAAAGAUGAAGUUAAGGAAGCAUGGGAAGAUCUUGUAAAGGAAUAUGUUUCAACAAGAAUUGGUCUUAAACGGGUGUGCCUCCUUGUUGACACAAAAUGGGGUAUGAAGCCAAGAGACCAGGAACUUAUUAAUCUGAUGGAGAGAUCGAAUACAAAGUAUCAGAUAGUCUUAACCAAGACGGAUGUGGUGUUUCCAAUGGAUGUGGCACGUCGGGCAAUGCAAAUCGAAGAGGUCAUAGUCAUUCUACUCUUAAGUGAAUAUACCGAAGGCAAAAAUAAAAUAAUAUUGGUCAUGUUCUUACUAAUAUCAACAUUUAUUUUCUUAAAAAAUGCAGAAGUUGAAAGCCAACAGAUUAAUUGUCCAGCCUCUGAUGAUGGUGAGCUCAAGGUCAGGAGCAGGCAUAGGAAGUUUAAGAACUGCCCUUGCUAGAAUUGCUAAGUUUGCAAAGUUCUAGCCAUCUAGGUUCUCGAAAACAUGAAAGCAUUUCCCAAAGUCCAUCAGAGACAGAGAAUCGAACGUUUGUAUGGCGAAAUAAGGUGGAAGAAUGAAAGAUUAUGUGUUGUGGAAGAAGAGACGGGAGGAGUCAAAAAGACAGUGAAUGGUGUGAUGAUGAUCCCACAGUGAAAACUCUCAACAAUCACUUGUGAUUUUUUAAUUUCUUUAUUAUCCUUUUUGUUUGUCAAAGCCAUCGUUUAGAAGAAAAUGAGAGCAUAAAAUGGUUUUUCACGUU